CGGUUCGGAAUAACCCUGGGAAACUAGGGCUAAUACCGGAUACGCCCCUUGGGGGAAAGGUUUACUGCCGAAGGAUCGGCCCGCGUCUGAUUAGCUAGUUGGUGAGGUAACGGCUCACCAAGGCGACGAUCAGUAGCUGGUCUGAGAGGAUGAUCAGCCACACUGGGACUGAGACACGGCCCAGACUCCUACGGGAGGCAGCAGUGGGGAAUAUUGGACAAUGGGCGCAAGCCUGAUCCAGCCAUGCCGCGUGAGUGAUGACGGCCUUAGGGUUGUAAAGCUCUUUUGUCCGGGACGAUAAUGACGGUACCGGAAGAAUAAGCCCCGGCUAACUUCGUGCCAGCAGCCGCGGUAAUACGAAGGGGGCUAGCGUUGCUCGGAAUCACUGGGCGUAAAGGGCGCGUAGGCGGCUUGCCAAGUCGGGGGUGAAAGCCCGUGGCUCAACCACGGAAUGGCCUUCGAUACUGGCAGGCUUGAGACCGGAAGAGGACAGCGGAACUGCGAGUGUAGAGGUGAAAUUCGUAGAUAUUCGCAAGAACACCAGUGGCGAAGGCGGCUGU
rnacentral:rRNA from 1 species